GGAAGUAAAAGUCGUAACAAGAUUUCCGUAGGUGAACCUGCGGAAGGAUCAUUCAUAAUAAAGUGUUUUAUGGCACUUUUUAAAAAUCCAUAUCCACCUUGUGUGCAAUGUUAGAUCUCGUCAAUCUUGGCGAGAUUUUUAUACAUCAACUCAUUCUUUGACUAAUUUGUCUGAAAAAUAUUAUGAAUACUUAAUUCAAAAUACAACUUUCAACAACGGAUCUCUUGGCUCUC
rnacentral:misc_RNA from 1 species